ensembl:lncRNA
AAAAUUCUGUUGGAAGGAAGACAUGUUGCCAGUGUCUCCUCCCCCUUCCCCGGAAGAACAAGCUCCCAGAUAAUUUGCAGAUGGACAGCUGGGCAUCCUCUGCAAAGUCAUACAGAAACGGUGCCAGGGCUAUAAAUUCGGCCCAGCUAUCUGUCUCAAAACUAAAUGCCCUUGGUCGGAAACCCCUACUAUUUCUUGGAAAUCCUGGCCGCAAAGGAAAAUCUGUGGGGGACUUGAUUCACUUUAUCCCCACAGAUAACGUCUUGGUGAAGAUUGGUGUGUUGCAUGGACUGUGCUCCACAAGCAGCUGUGCCCCCCCUGGAAAACAGCGGUCCACCAGCCCCUCCUGUGUGCUCUCAGCCUCCUCCAGAACCCUUCUCAUCCCCUCAAACUCCUCCAUCCUUCUCCAACUCCCAACCUCCUUCCUUCUCAUCCCCUCAAACUCCUCCAUCCUUCUCCAACUCCCAACCUCCUCCAUCUUUCCACAACUUAGAACCUCCUCCAUCCUUCUCCAACUCCCAACCUCCUUCCUUCUCAUCCCCUCAAACUCCUCCAUCCUUCUCUAACUCUGAACCUCCUCCAUCUUUCCACAACUUAGAAACUCCUCCAUCCUUCUCCAACUCCCAACCUCCUUCCUUCUCAUCCCCUCAAACUCCUCCAUCCUUCUCCAACUCCCAAGCUCCUUCCUUCUCCAACUCCCAACCUCCUCCAUCCUUCUCAGACCCUCAAAUUCCUCCAUCCUUCUCUAACUCUGAACCUCCUCCAUCUUUCCACAACUUAGAACCUCCUCCAUCCUUCUCCAACUCCCAACCUCCUUCCUUCUCUAACUCUCAACCUUCUCCAUCCUUCUCCCCUCAACCUCAUCCAUCCCUCUCCAACUUUGAACCUCCUUGAUCUCCAGCCUCCUCUUCCAAGAAGAGACCCAAAAUAAAAGAAAACACAAAAAUCAAACCAAGCCAAGCCGUUCAGAUUUUGUUGCCCACGAGAGUCAGAUCCAGGAUGGACCUUAUCUGGAGUGGGGCCAAAAGCGCCCUGGCCCUCCCUCUAAAAAUAAGCGAGCUGAGCUGCUCCUAUUUUCGGGAAAAGAAGAGGUGAAAGUCUCUUGGACACCAUGCCCCAAGUGUGGGAAGAAGUGGGACGAUUCAUGGGAGCCAGACAGCCAACAGUUUAGCUAAAUCUAUUUUAUUUAUUUAUGUAUAUUAUUUUAUUUGUUUGAUAUUCCUGUUUCUUUGGAAGUGUUUAUUUUAUUACACACAAACACACACAUACAUACACAGACAUCUUUCAAAAGUGA